rnacentral:tRNA from 1 species
GCCUGGGUGGUUCAGUCGGUUGAGCAUCUGACUUUGGCUCAGGUCAUGAUCUAGCGGUUCGUGGGUUCGAGCCCUGCAUUGGGCU